UACGGGGGGGGCAAGCGUUGUUCGGAAUUACUGGGCGUAAAGGGCUCGUAGGCGGCCAACUAAGUCGGACGUGAAAUCCCUCAGCUUAACUGGGGAACUGCGUCCGAUACUGGAUGGCUCGAGUUUGGGAGAGGGAUGCGGAAUUCCAGGUGUAGCGGUGAAAUGCGUAGAUAUCUGGAGGAACACCGGUGGCGAAGGCGGCAUCCUGGACCAAUUCUGACGCUGAGUGAGCGAAAGCCAGGGGAGCAAACGGG
rnacentral:rRNA from 1 species